GACGAACGCUGGCGGCAUGCCUAAUACAUGCAAGUCGAGCGAACAGAUGAAGUGCUUGCACUUCUGACGUUAGCGGCGAACGGGUGAGUAACACGUAAGGAAUCUACCUAUAAGCGGGGGAUAACAUUCGGAAACGGGUGCUAAUACCGCAUAAUAUCUUCUUCCGCAUGGAAGAAGAUUGAAAGACGGCUCUGCUGUCACUUAUAGAUGACCUUGCGGUGCAUUAGUUAGUUGGUGGGGUAACGGCCUACCAAGACGAUGAUGCAUAGCCGACCUGAGAGGGUGGUCGGCCACAAUGGGACUGAGACACGGCCCAAACUCCUACGGGAGGCAGCAGUAGGGAAUCUUCCGCAAUGGGCGAAAGCCUGACGGAGCAAUGCCGCGUGAGUGAAGAAGGCCUUCGGGUCGUAAAACUCUGUUAUAAGAGAAGAACAAAUUGUAGAGUAACUGCUACAGUCUUGACGGUAUCUUAUCAGAAAGCCACGGCUAACUACGUGCCAGCCGCCGCCGUAA
rnacentral:rRNA from 1 species